GGCAACAUGGCCGAGCGGUUAUGGCGGUGGAUUCAAGAGCCUUACUCUUCUUCUCUUCUAAAAGAGAAUCCCACUCUCGAAAGAGGCCGGGGUUCGAAUCCCCGUGUUGUCA